rnacentral:lncRNA from 1 species
AUCAAUUGAAAAUUUUGUGAAUAAAUGAAUCCUAAUUUCUUUCGUAUCAAUUGAACCCUCAAACCGAGUUGUUUGCAAAUUUUGCCUUUUGCUUAUGUCUAAGUAGGGAGCAUUAUUGAAUAAAUUUGGUUUUGGAAUCUAAAGUUGGGGAGAGUAAAGUAAAAAGAGUUGAUUAAAAACUUGGAAAAGUGAGUUUUUAUGAAAGGGUGAAAAUAUGAAAAGAAAGAAGAAAAAGAAAUCACCCUUGAAACCAUAGAGCAAAGAAAAAAAAACAAAGAAAAGGCUCAUGGUUGUGUGGAUGUGAAAAGAAAAAGAAAAAGAAAAAAGACGGGUAUCAAAGAAAUGGAAAUUGUGUAGAGUUGAAUAUUUGGAUAUGCUCCCUUAAGAUAGGCAUUUUUGUUAAAUUCUCUUAAUCAUAUCCUUUCUUGUAACCCAAGCCACAUUACAAU